rnacentral:rRNA from 1 species
UACGAAGGGGGCUAGCGUUGCUCGGAGUCACUGGGCGUAAAGGGCGCGUAGGCGGCGUUUUAAGUCGGGGGUGAAAGCCUGUGGCUCAACCACAGAAUGGCCUUCGAUACUGGGACGCUUGAGUAUGGUAGAGGUUGGUGGAACUGCGAGUGUAGAGGUGAAAUUCGUAGAUAUUCGCAAGAACACCGGUGGCGAAGGCGGCCAACUGGACCAUUACUGACGCUGAGACGCGAAAGCGUGGGGAGCAAACAGG